CUGCGGGUUCGAGCCCCGUCAGUCCCGACAAAUCCAAUAAAAAAAAAAAUAGAUCAAUUCAUCUCUUCAUUUUCUGUAAAAGGGGUACAAAUAGCAG
rnacentral:tRNA from 1 species